rnacentral:rRNA from 1 species
UACGAGGGGGGCAAGCGUUGUUCGGAAUUAUUGGGCGUAAAGGGCGCGUAGGCGGCGCGGUAUGUCUCUUGUGAAAUCUCCAGGCUCAACUUGGAGUCUGCAAGGGAAACUGCCGUGCUUGAGUACUGGAGAGGUGAGUGGAAUUCCCGGUGUAGCGGUGAAAUGCGCAGAUAUCAGGAGGAACACCAAUUGCGAAGGCAGCUCGCUGGGACGUUACUGACGCUGAGACGCGAAAGCGUGGGGAGCAAACAGG